GAUCAUUAUGGAAAUAAAUUCGGCAUGGGGACUUCGUGGGUCCCCGGUCACCUCAGCGGGACUUAGCCGCGAAUGUUAUGGAACUGUGUAGCGGGACCUGGGUAACCUGGCUGGUUAUUCCCUUUAUUAAUAAUAGGUCAGACCCAUUUCCCCCAGUAACUGGACGACACACAGUUCCAGGGUACCACCUUUGACAAGCUUUAUUUGGGCACACUGCUUUUUAUGCACAGACCCCCACAGGGGGUCUCCAUCCAACACAACACAAGCCCAGGCAGGAGGGGGCUAGGUUACAGAUAACCAUCUCCCGCUCUGGGAGAUCCCAACAGGACACAGGGGCACACAUGGAAACACAUUACAUACAGGGGGAUGAACUUUGGGGCUCGGCACCCUGGGACAGGAAGAGGUUACAGAGUUGAAACUUAUAUUUAUAAAUAGCCCUGGGUCCCAUCUGGGAUCCCUGCAAAAAGUGGGGCGAUCGGAUGUACAUUGCCCCAGAUAUCAGCAUUGAAAGUCUGGGGCUCAAGGCUUUACAUCCCCGAAAUUAGUUCCAUGGAGUUGCUUGGUUUAGUCCGGCGAAUUGAAACUUCGCACCUAAACCAAGCAACAGCCAAUCAGUGCUCGGGGAAGGAAGGAGUUUCGCUACACAUCCAGAAGAAAGGGC